AGCGAACGCUGGCGGCAGGCCUAACACAUGCAAGUCGAGCGCCCCGCAAGGGGAGCGGCAGACGGGAGAGUAACACGUGGGAACGUACCCCUUAGUUCGGAACAACCCAGGGAAACUUGGGCUAAUACCGGAUACGUCCGUAAGGAGAAAGAUUUAUCGCUAAAGGAUCGGCCCGCGUCUGAUUAGCUAGUUGGUGAGGUAAUGGCUCACCAAGGCGACGAUCAGUAGCUGGUCUGAGAGGAUGAUCAGCCUCACUGGGACUGAGACACGGCCCAGACUCCUACGGGAGGCAGCAGUGGGGAAUAUUGGACAAUGGGCGCAAGCCUGAUCCAGCCAUGCCGCGUGGGUGAUGAAGGCCCUAGGGUUGUAAAGCCCUUUCGGCGGGGAAGAUAAUGACGGUACCCGCAGAAGAAGCCCCGGCUAACUUCGUGCCAGCAGCCGCGGUAAAAC
rnacentral:rRNA from 1 species